CGACUUCAAUCCCUGGUACCAAAAAAAAAAAAAAAAAGGACACAUUGCCAUUAAUCCCCUGAAAGUACUCAAAAUAUUUUUCUUCACUUCAGACACCUAGAUCCCAUCAUCCUUGGUAAUGUGUCUUAUAGUAUAAUAACUUUUUUAAAAUUUAAACAUUCACUGUAUUUUUCUAUCAGCCUUGUACUUCAGAGUUCAUUUCCCAGCCUAGCUACUUCUUCACGUCUCUGGGCAUCAGUGCUUUCAUCUGUGGAAUGGGAUAGACUCAUUUGUUUUUUAAAUUACUGAAAUGACAUAUGCGGUAUGCAAUCAGUGCUCCAUAAUUGUGACUGAAUGCCAACUUUUAAUCCCGAAGUCAGCAAGUUCAUGUUAGCCUGAAUUUACACCUUCAGUGAAAGGGACAGUGAAUCUAACAGGAAUUUACUCAUCAAAUGGCUUAACUGUUGCACCCACCCCGCGAAGGGAACAGACUUUCUGCAGGGCAUCUGACACACUGGUCACCGAGCGACUGACCUCACCCAGCACCCUCUCUUUGCAUUCAGAGAGGAUUCACCUGAGAUGGAGUUGGAGACUUGGUACAGUUUUGAAGAUUCCCACAAAUACACCUUCUAUGCUAUCUUCCUGCCCACUUUUUCCUUCUUCUGAAUUUUCAUAAUAACCCCAAGAAAAGUGAAGCCGUCCCUUAUGGAAGAAAUUUUUAUGUGUCAUGUCAAUCACUUAGCAUUUAAUCUCUGGUUAGGUGGGCACUGUUUCUGUCCCCAUUUUCCACUCGAAUAAACUGAGGUGAGCGGGGUUAAGGAACCUGCUGAAAUCACCUCGAUCACAAGUGGAGGAGCGGGAUUUGGAUCCAGGCUAAUUGAGUCAGAGUCUGUUAUUUAACUUAGUCCACAAUUUGAUGAGGCUAAAACAUCUGUGCAUUAAAAGCACAAAGUGACUUUCUUCAUUGCCCAGACUAGAAAUCCUGUCAAGAACUUGAGAUGUGAGAUGGGGUGGAGAAAAAAGAAGCAGAGAAAAGGAGGUGAUGGUAUUGCCUUUUCCCGGGUUGUCUCCGUAAGUUCUGGUUAGCUAGGUCAAGCACCGGUUCACAGACCUAACUCCGAAGUAAAUAUUCCCCCACGGGGGUCAGUUUUGUUAGCACUGCCUUUCAUUGUCAGUUUCCCGGUAUCUCCCAAUCUCCCCACUCCUGGCACCCAUAACUAAUUAGUAUUGAUUCUGGCAAUAUUUCUCAUCUGUAUUUCUGCUUUUCCAAUUUCCUUGACCAAGAUCAGUUAACAAGCACCACGCUAGCAUUCAUCCCUGAGCCCAUCCACAGCACUGCCCAAACGAUUACAGACUGAGGACACCUAUUUUGACUGAUUUCUUUUACAUAUUUAACCUGUAAAGUAUAAGGCAGAAAUCUAACAUUUAUGUGAAAUAUAAUUUAUCUUAGUCUUGGCAAAAAAAUGUAUUAGAAAACAAAUGACAAGAAGUCACUGGAGCCUACAGGCUUGCCGAUUUAUAACCCCUGGUUGAUCUUGGGAAUUAAAUCCUGUAGUACUGUGCUAUGAGCUCCUAGGGUAUCUCACUCAACUUCAAUUGAUUCCUGGAACAGCCUCACAUUUAUUCACAAGAGGUCAUUUCAUAUCAGCAUUUAUUCAUUCUGUGUCUUAUACACUUCAUUCAUUCAACUAAAACUUCAUGAGUACUUGGUAUCUGCGAAUCACUAUUCUAAAUCACGGUGAUAGAAAAGUAAGCAAGACAGACAACUCACUUCUUGCCAUUUGCUGUUUUCUUGAUGUUUUGCUGCUUUUUUUUGUUCCUCAUUUCUUGUCUUACUGCCUUCUUUUGUGUUCAGUUGAUUUUUUGUAGUGUUAUAUUUUGGUCUCAUUUCCUUUUGUGUGUAUUUUACACACAAAGAUAUUUUGUGUUACCAUGUAGAUUAUAUCUAACAUCCUGUAGCUAUAACAACCUACUUUUAAGUGAUAAUGACUUAACUUCACAUGCAUAUGAAACUCUCUUCCUUCUUACAUCUCUGUCCCACCUAAUAGCCACUUCAUGUUAUUGAUGUCACGAAUUAUGUAUUUUAGUAUUGUGCACCCAUUAACCUAAAUUUAUAAUUACUUUUAUGCUUCUGCUUUUAAAUAUUAUAAAAGAAUAGCAAGCAGAGUUGCCAAAUGAAAUUAUAAUAAUACUACUUUUCAUAUUUGUACAUAUAAUUACCUUUAUAUGAGAACUUUUCAUUUUCAUAUUUGAGUUACUUUUAAUCCCUUUAGUUCAACUUGAAUACUCCCUGUGAUCUUUCUUAUGGGCCAAGUCUAGGGACAAUGAACACCCACAAGUUUUCUUUAAUCUGUGAAUACCCUAAUUUCUCCCUCAGAUUUGAAGACAAUUUUGAGUACAAAUUUUUGGAUUGACAGUUUUUGAUGUCCUUCUUUUAGCACUUUAAAUAUAUUACCCAGUUACCGAGGGGAGGUGGCGUCUCCCAGGAGAGGCCUUAGGGACUCGGACUGACAGGGAUGGGACCUGAGGAAGGACGGGUCAAGUGGGGUCCUGUGACCCGGGUGAAGGAAGAAGGCGGGGCCGUGGGACGCUGGGGCUCAGGGCGCGUCCCUGGGCUGUGAUCCUGAGCCAGGAGAGUGCGGAUCGGCCCCCCGCGCCCCACCCCUGCCCUGCUGAAAACCCGGCGGGCGGCCAAGGAGCAAGUGUCCCCGGGGGACGACACAGGACCCCAAGGGGGCUUCCCCCUCGUCCCAGAAAGAGAUCCCGAAAAACGCGAGAAGACACAAAGGGACGCUGGGCUUCCCCGCAACAGCCACUCCUUCCUCUUCCGAGUGCCAUCUCCUGCCUGGCCCAAGCGUGUCCGCGGAAGGGCUGCUGUCGUCCAACCCUCUGAAGAACUAUGCCGAGGACACCAGCUGAGGACUCCUGGUCGUCUCAGUCCUGGCUUCCUGCAGCUCCCCUGCCAGUCCUUGAUUCUUGGCUCCCCACCAACUCUGAACCGGAUUUGACAUUGGCCCCAGAUCCACAUAGAGGAAAAUGAAUGUCAUAGUUUCAAAUCUUAAUAACUUAUCUUCCCUUCCAGAAGCCCAAUAAAUACCCUGCUAUCUAAAUAUUAAAAAUAUAUAUAUAUAUAUAUAUAUAUAUAUAUUGUCCCAUUGCCUUCUGAUUUGUAAGGUUUCUGAUGGGAAAUUCUCUGACAAUCUUCUUGAGGGUCUCUUAUCUACAAUGAAUUGCUUUUCUUUUGUGCUUUCAAGAUUAUCUCUGUCUUUGGUUUUCACAUUUUGAUUAUAAUGUGCCUUCAUCCAAGUCUCUUUGGGAUUGGUCUACUUAAAGUUGAUGAGCGUCUUGUAUUUGUAUACCCAUAUCUUUCCUCAAGUUUGAGAAGUCUGGGGCCAUUAUUUCUCUCUCUGUUACCUCCUUCUAGGACUCCCAAAGUAUGGAUAUUGAUCUGCUUGAUAGUGUACCAUAAGUCCCUUAAGCUCUGUUCAUUUUUCUUCACUUUUUCUUCAUUUUGCUCCUCAGAUUCAAUAAUUUCAAUUAUUUGUCUUCAACUUUACUCAUUCUUUCUUCCAGCUGUUUGAAUAGAGCAUUGAGUAAAUGUUCAAUUCUGUAA